rnacentral:rRNA from 1 species
CUCUGAGACAGGUGCUGCAUGGCUGUCGUCAGCUCGUGUUGUGAAAUGUUGGGUUAAGUCCCGCAACGAGCGCAACCCUUAUCCUUGUUUGCCAGCGAGUCAUGUCGGGAACUCCAGGGAGACUGCCGGUGAUAAACCGGAGGAAGGUGGGGACGACGUCAAGUCAUCAUGGCCCUUACGAGUAGGGCUACACACGUGCUACAAUGGCGCAUACAGAGGGCAGCAAGCUAGCGAUAGUGAGCGAAUCCCAAAAAGUGCGUCGUAGUCCGGAUUGGAGUCUGCAACUCGACUCCAUGAAGUCGGAAUCGCUAGUAAUCGUGAAUCAGAAUGUCACGGUGAAUACGUUCCCGGGCCUUGUACACACCGCCCGUCACACCAUGGGAGUGGGCUGCAAAAGAAGUGGGUAGUUUAACCUUUCGGGGAGGACGCUCACCACUUUGUGGUUCAUGACUGGGGUGAAGUCGUAACAAGGUAGCCCUAGGGGAACCUGGGGCUGGAUCACCUCCUUA